rnacentral:lncRNA from 1 species
UUUUGAGGAGAGAGAGAUAACAGGAAAGGAGCAUAAUAAAUAGAAUAGGGGGACCCAUUUGGAGAGAGAGGGAGUUAGUAAGAGAAAGGGUUGAGAGAGAGGGAGUUAGUGAGAAAGAGAAAGAGAGAGUGGUAGAGAGGAAUCGUGAGAGAGAGAGAGGUUGAGAGGAAGGGAGUUAGUGAGAGAGAGAGAUGAAAAGAGUUGAGAGAGAGAGGAACAGGGUUGAGAGAGAGGACAACUAUAGGAGGUAGGAGAGAGUGAGGAGAAAAGUGAGAGAAAGAGGGCCCACCUGGAAGAAAGGGACCAUAACACCCACAACUCGACACGUGGAAUGGGCUAACGUGCUCAUGACACGUNAAAAAUUCAAAGAUUAGUAAGUAAAAUAUUCGAUUGAACACCUUGAAUACCAAAAUUUUCUAAGCGAAAUUCUCUGACUCCUUUCUUAGUUCUCGUAACAUCCACCGUGGUCGCCGCUGUCGCCCCUGUGUCCGCUUCCCAAGCUGUGACCGCCAUUGUCGCCGCCGCUGCUAUAGUCGCCAUCGCCGCCCAAGACUUCGCUGUCGCCGUGACCGCCCAAACUGUCGCCGUUGUCGUCGCCGUGAUUGCCGCCGUCGCCGCCGCCGCCGCCGUCGCCGCCGCCGCCACCGUCGAAGCCCUAUUCCUUUGCAAAUAAGGCAUUUUUAGGAGAGAGAUAACAGGGAAGGAGCAUAAUAAAUAGAGUAGGGGGAGCCAUUUGGAGAGAGGGAGUUAGUAAGAGAAAGGGUUGAGAGAGAGGGGGAGUUAGUGAGAAAGAGAAAGAGAGAGUGGUAGAGAGGAAUCGUGAGAGAGAGAGAAGGGCUGAGAGAAAGGGAGUUAGUGAGAGAGAGAGAUGAAAAGAGUUGAGAGAGAGAGGAACAGGGUUGAGAGAGAGGACAACUAUAGGAGGUGGGAGAGAGAGUGAGGAGAAAAGUGAGAGAAAGAGGG